GUUCCCCAUGAUGCAUUGCUUCUUCUUGAACCAUGCUAAUGCUGAUCAUUACAUGACUGAAAUUCUUCUCUACUUUCUGAGGGAACA